CGGGACAGAAAGGGGAGCUUGGCUCCCGGGAUGUUAGCGGCGGACGGGUGAGUAACACGUGGGUAACCUGCCUGUAAGACUGGGAUAACUCCGGGAAACCGGAGCUAAUACCGGAUAGUUCCUUGAACCGCAUGGUUCAAGGAUGAAAGACGGUUUCGGCUGUCACUUACAGAUGGACCCGCGGCGCAUUAGCUAGUUGGUGGGGUAAUGGCUCACCAAGGCGACGAUGCGUAGCCGACCUGAGAGGGUGAUCGGCCACACUGGGACUGAGACACGGCCCAGACUCCUACGGGAGGCAGCAGUAGGGAAUCUUCCGCAAUGGACGAAAGUCUGACGGAGCAACGCCGCGUGAGUGAUGAAGGUUUUCGGAUCGUAAAGCUCUGUUGUUAGGGAAGAACAAGUGCGAGAGUAACUGCUCGCACCUUGACGGUACCUAACCAGAAAGCCACGGCUAACUACGUGCCAGCAGCCGCGGUAAUACGUAGGUGGCAAGCGUUGUCCGGAAUUAUUGGGCGUAAAGGGCUCGCAGGCGGUUUCUUAAGUCUGAUGUGAAAGCCCCCGGCUCAACCGGGGAGGGUCAUUGGAAA
rnacentral:rRNA from 1 species